ensembl:misc_RNA Metazoa_SRP Metazoan signal recognition particle RNA
GCCGGGUGUGGUGGUGCAUGCCUGUAAUCCCAGCUACUUGGGAGGCUGAGGUAGGAGAAUCACUUGAACCCAGGAGGCGGAGGUUGCAGUGAGCCCAGAUUUUACCACUGCACUCUAGCCUGGGUGACAGAGCAAGAUCCUGUCUCAA